AUUGAACGCUGGCGGCAGGCCUAACACAUGCAAGUCGAGCGGAGCGGCGGACGGGUGAGUAAUGCCUAGGAAUCUGCCUGUUAGUGGGGGAUCACGUCCGGAAACGGGCGCUACUCCCGCAUCCUAUCAGAUUAGCCUAGGUCGGAUUAGCGAGUUGGUGGGGUAAAGGCCUACCAAGGCGACGAUCCGUAACUGGUCUGAGAGGAUGAUCAGUCACACUGGAACUGAGACACGGUCCAGAAGCCUACGGGAGGCAGAAGUGGGGAAUAGUGGACAAGGGGCGAAAGCCUGAGCCAGCCAUGCCGAGUGUGGGAAGAAGGUCUUCGGAUUGUAAAGCACUUUAAGUUGGGAGGCGUUACCAACAGAAUAAGCACCGGCUAACUUCGUGCCAGCCGCCGCGGUAAUUC
rnacentral:rRNA from 1 species